GGGAUCAGCUGCACUCAGGCCACGCCUACCACGCUGGGUCGAAAUACUUACACGAGACCGUCUCCGGGAAAAUCGUCUUUGUUGAGUUUUUCUUUUUUUUUCUUUUCCUCAAACCCGAUGAACAACAGUGCUGUUCUGUAGUACUGAGCAUUCUUGAGCCCCUGUAGGCGUCUAAACUAGUUUCAGACAGUCGGGGCUAGAGGCAGAGAUAUAGAAUGUGUGUGUAACAGCUAAAUGUGUAUGAAGUAUCUUUAUGAGUUUGACAGAAAUUAUAAAGAUAUAGCUAUAUGAAUAUAAAAGAGUGUAUCUGACUGCACACUUCCUCCGCCCACACACACACACACACACACACUACACAUACACACACUCUACACACACACACUAAUCAGAACAAGCGGCUUGAACUGAGGAUCUGAACAAAUCAAACAUCGCAGACACACAAACAUUCCCUGGUCUUGUUGAAAGGAAUUUGCUUCUGGUGCUUGAGCCGCUGAGCGGCGCUGAGCCACAAGGGGGCGGUAAUGGGCCUUUAUUCUGGAUCGUUUGCAGGAAAAAAAGAGAUAAUAAUAAAAACAGAAGCAGACCCAAUUAUCUCAAAUCACCACCUACCCUGUUUUCUGACUAUGGUCUGGAAUGGACUUCUGAACCGAUGAGAAAUCUAGUUUUGCAGACAUAUUUUGCAGAUGUUUUCGUUCAUCCUUGGCGGUGUGGCCGACUGCCCUUUCCUUUGUCAGUAUUACUUCAGGAAUACUGAUUGUUUACAGCCCAUGGUUCCCAAACCACGAUUCUUGAUGAAAGACAAAGUAUUCACUGCAACAGUUCUUGUUUGUAUAACAGAUGUGGCUCUACUGAUGUGUAUGUUUUAUAUUCAAGAGUUCAUUUUUAUUAUUUACAAAUAAAAGACUGUGUGGAAGAAGAGCCUGGCCUUCUUUAAUCACUGGUGUCUCAAGAAGCAGCAGACAGCAGAGAUUUUUUUUUUUUUGAAUGUUGACAUUUGUGCAGAUUUGUAAAAACAUUGUUGCAUAUUCUUUUUUGCUAUUAUGACCACAUUGAGUUUUCUGUAACCUUUUACAGGAUUGGAUUGAACCGACAGAGGGAUCUUUGACAGUCUCCAGAUUGUCGUGUUUUCUCUUUUGCCCUCUUCAGUUCAGAUCAACCAGCUGAUUUUCUUCAGGAUUUUGGUUUGUCGACUGAAAAAAGAGCAGCUGAAAGGAAUGGAUCUGCACCAAGCCACCAACAGAUUUUAGUCUGUGUAAAGGAAAGUGUUACCUCUUGUGUGUUUUAAAAAUACUUACAGCCCUCUUGCCCGUUUCCUCUGAUUUACAGUUUUUCCUUCACUUUCAGUUUUUCCCUAACUGUUAAUGCUCAGGUAACCUCUCUCUUGGUAUCCAUUACAGGCUGAGUGUUUAAAGAUGCCAGUGACUCAUGAAACAGUAGAAGGAGAUGUAGAAGAGUGGAAAAGUUCACUAUUAAACUGUGUGCAAAUAGAUGUAUUUAAUCAGGGUUUUUUUAUUUGUUUGCUGAUUUCAGUUUGAACUUGAUCCAACUUCUAUCCUCCAGAAUCACAGCAUCUGUUGCCACCUUGUGUUGUGAAUGGAGAGGACAGCCGUCAACUUUAGACCAUUUUGAUAUGAAAGUUAAAAUGAUAAAGCAGGUUGAAAGUAUAAAAUUUGACUGCCUGUAAAAAUAUGGGAUUUGAUCUAGACAUUUUCCAGAUCUGGUUUAAUUAUAGAAAAGUAUAUAUUUUCAGAUUUUGUUCCUAGUUAAAUUGUCUACAGAUUGUCUCCAUUCAUCAUUUCUUAAUGUAUUCAUCUGUCCAUCAUCAUUCAUCCAUCGGUUAAUCUAUCCAUACUUUGUUCUUCCUUUCAUUUUGGAUAUUGACAGAAUUCAUAUUUAAAUCUGACUCUGAGCGGUAAACAGAAGAGCUUACCUUUCCCUAAUGCAGUCCUGCUGUCCUACAAAGUAAGUUUGAAUGUCAAUGGGUCAGGAAAUCAGAAGCUUUACUGUUUAACUCCUCUUCCUCUUUACCAUGGCAGACAGUAAUGUCCUUGAAUGAAGAUCCGACGUGCCCAAGACAUUUGACAACCUCCGCUUGGACUCUUGCUGAGACUCAGACUUUGAGGAGAUGACCGUCAUCCUGCCUGCCUCACGCACACCUGUGAACCUUUGCUGUGAGAGCUGAAGGUCAUGUAUUGAAGACGGGAACAGGGCUGCAUCAUCUGCAGAAAGCAAAGACGAGACCCUGAGGUUCCCAAACCAGGCGACGCCUCAACAAGCUGGACUCCGGCAGCUUGAAUUACAAAGUUUAGUUUUGUUUGCUGCUGAAAUAAAAGGAGCAUCAGUUCAAGUCGUCAGUGUUUUGCUUUGUUUUAUUGAAUUUCAUUGUCCAGCUGUAAAAGACAGAGGCAACAGAAAACCAACGUUGCAUGAACUGAAUACAUGGU